UGACCCCAGGGAGCACCCCACGGUGGGGAGGUGCCUGGAGGCGGCUGCUGCCUACUGUCCCUUCGUUGGGAGAGCGGUCUCCAUAGAGACCGCAGGUCCCUGAGCUGGACAGUGCGGGCCGCGACGACCUAUGCACCACUGCUGGCGAGAAAAUCGCUGCCGUCUCCCCGGAGAUUCGGGCUGCAGCAGAGGCAGCUAAGGAAGAUGCCUUUUCUCUAAAGUCUUCCUUGCCUGGGAGACACCAGCUGGGCCUGCACUCCCUGCCUGCAGCGCCAAGGCCUCUCUAGCCUCUGGAGGACCGCUCCUCUUGAUGGUCUUAACCCUUGCUGUCUGAGAGCCAAGCCGCAUUUCCAGGGUUCAGCAAAGGAAGUGGUACUCUGGCCGCCAGACUGCUGCACCUGUUUCUCAGAGGAAACCUCCGGGAGACAGCCAGAGAGACCCGGAGGGAGACAGCCAGAGAGACCCAGAGAGUGAAACAGUGAAGGCUUCGUGAGAGGCCUGGUGAGAUAGGAUCUAUCCUGAUAGGCACAGACAGCAGAGAACUCCGGUGAGUCAGGACCUGGACAACUCACCUGUCUGUGCAGUGUUCCUUGCUGGAAUCCAGGCUCUCCCCUGCUGCCCUUUCACGUGGUUCCUGCACUGGGUUCUUGCCCUGACUUCCCUCACUGGGAAACUGUGAUAUGGCAGUGUAAACUGAA